GUAGGUGGCAAGCGUUGUCCGGAAUUAUUGGGCGUAAAGCGCGCGCAGGCGGUCCUUUAAGUCUGAUGUGAAAGCCCACGGCUCAACCGUGGAGGGUCAUUGGAAACUGGGGGACUUGAGUACAGAAGAGGAAAGCGGAAUUCCAAGUGUAGCGGUGAAAUGCGUAGAGAUUUGGAGGAACACCAGUGGCGAAGGCGGCUUUCUGGUCUGUAACUGACGCUGAGGCGCGAAAGCGUGGGGAGCAAACAGGAUUAGAUACCCUGGUAGUCCACGCCGUAAACGAUGAGUGCUAAGUGUUAGGGGGUUUCCCGCCCCCCUUAGUGCUGCAGCUAACGCACUAAGCACUCCGCCUGGGGAGUACGGCCGCAAGGCUG
rnacentral:rRNA from 1 species